rnacentral:tRNA from 1 species
UGGAGUAUAGUUCAGUGGUAGAGCACUUGCCUGGCAUUCAGGAGGCCUGGGCUUUGAUCCCCAGUAAUGCAA